AAUGCUGUUCGCAAGAUGUCUCAGCUGGUCCACAUUUUGGCGCUGGAAAACGAGGCUCCUUUUUCUGUCCUGAAUAUUUCCAAGUUGCUGAGCAUACUAAGUAAGCCACUUUCAUGUGAGUUCUCGACGCAGACAACAACAGAUGUUGUCAAUUCGUUGGAUUCGGCUCUGACCAGGUCGUUGAAUAAGGAGACAACCAGUGCACAGACAUGCUCUAG